AAUUUUCCAAGACAGAAAAAUAUUUAUAUGCAUAUUUUAAGGAAUAGGGACAAUGCAUCAUAAUGCUGAUAAUUAUCUCUGAGUAGUAUGUUAAUGAAAUUUUUAAUAUUUUUUCUAUGUAAAUUGCUAUAUUUUCCAAAUUCUUUGAAAUGAACCUUUACUGCUUUAUGAUCAGGAAGAAAGAAAAGUUGUUUUUAAGUUGUAUAAGAAAGUUCUUUUUCUGAAUGAAAAUGAUUUUUAGUGGCUGUACAAAUAUUCUACUGUUUGUAUGAACCAUGAUAUACUUCACUAUUUUUCAAAUGUUGGACGUGUAGAUUGGUUUUUAAUUAUCAACAACACUUUGAAGAUGUCUUCCAUUCGAUUCAUUUCUUACCUUUUCUAACCUGCUCUCUGCUCUAGGAGGCUCAGAUGCAUGGUUAACUCAAUUGUCCUUUUGCCCUCUGACUUCCAGUAGGUUUUGGCCAAUUAGGGACCCAGGCGAUUGGACUGUCUACUUCUCUAAGUCACUGCCUACUUUGACUGAAGGUCACAGUACGUCUCAAGAGAAAGUAGUAGCUGCCCAUUUCUGCAUCCUGGCUGCAUCCGUGAGCCUGGUUCUCUGAAGUCAGAGCUUGUUUGUGAUCGUGACUUUGCUCCCAGGU
rnacentral:lncRNA from 1 species